UCCCCAAUUUCUUAAGAUAAAAGGCCAGCUUAGCACAAACAGUAGUCUUUCCAACGCCCUGCAGUCCUGCUAAUAAUAUCACCGUGGGGCCAGACUUUGCAUAUACCAGAUCGGUCAUUUCUCCCCCCAUCAAUUUCACAAGUUCGUCACGAACAAUCUUCACUAGUUGUUGAUCAGGUUUCACCCCCCGAAUCAAGCCAACUCCGACAGCCUGGUCACUCACAGACUGCACGAACCGUCUCACUACCGGCAAACUCACAUCAGCUUCCAAUAG
rnacentral:misc_RNA from 1 species